CAAACUUCGCCAUCGCAGCUAAUGAGAAAAUCUAUUAUCGAAUCGUUGAAAGGCAAAAAUCGUAUUUUGGUGUGUUUGAAUUCGAAAUUAUUUAUUACGAGCAGCAGAAAAAAGUGUAGGACGGUUGAGAUACCAAUACGGUGAAACUCCUGAUUUCCGAGCAGAAUAACUCCAAACGGCAAAUAAAGUCUAUCUCCUAUUCCUCCUGUAUAGAUCCAGUUUGUCGAUAAAAUCCACCAACCCAAAGGUAGGGUAGUUGAACCUUUCAUCAACACUAAAAAGGGAUUGGAAAGCAUUGUAGAAGGAAAGGAAACCAGUUUAUUUAUACGGUGAAACUCCUGAUUUCCGAGCAGAAUAACUCCAAACGGCAAAUAAAGUCUAUCUCCUAUUCCUCCUGUAUAGAUCCAGUUUGUCGAUAAAAUCCACCAACCCAAAGGUAGGGUAGUUGAACCUUUCAUCAACACUAAAAAGGGAUUGGAAAGCAUUGUAGAAGGAAAGGAAACCAGUUUAUUUGUAAGUACGUUAGAUAAUCAAAUUACUAUUAUCAUUUACGAAGGAAAUAAAAUUACAGUUUAGCGUUGCUGAAAAUCAAUCAGCUGCUUAGAAAAUUGGUUUCCCUGUCGGGAA